AUUCCUUGGACCAUAAGGAUGGCGGACCUAUGACCCAAGGUGAAUGGAUCAUGGCCAGGAUCCCUGUGCUCAGUCCUGCCAUUUAGCAUCUUUCUGGAAUCUUUCUCCCCUCUAUGAUCUGGCCAUUCAACCACCCCCAUCCUUUUAGAGUUCACCUUGGGCUUUAGUAGUGUUUGUAUUCUAUCCUGCAGAAUUGCACAGAUUUCGUAUUUUCUGCUGACUUUGGGUCUGAUGUCCCUAAUGCUAUACACAGGAAAGUCUUUGGGGAGGCAUCUGGGCCCCUAGGAAAGGGAUGUAAGCCUUUCCCAAAGUCCCUUAGCUGACCUCCCUUUAGACUUCACUGGCCAGAACUGGUUGUCCGUCAUUGGUCAAGGGAAAGAGUGUUGCCAGAAUUGUCAGAAACCAGUCCUGGCUCAUCUCCUAGGGCUGACCCACCCUCCCUGAGAUCAAGACAUCUCUGUUGGCGAUCUGUUGAAUGUUGAGGGUCUGUUAGCAAGAAGAUAAGAGCAUGCCUGCCAAAAUUGUCUGCCGCAGAGCGUGAGCUCACAGAGGCCAGACUUUCUGGGAUUUACUCUCUCUGAUCCUGGCUUCUUCCAACUUGCAGGCCACCUCAUCCAGACCUUCCUUCUCUUUCCCUUUUUCUCCUCCUUUUGCAUGGUAUUGGAAUAGUUGGUGACUGCUAGCCUGUUUCCUGGAAGGAGAACCGCUCCGAUGAAAAGAAACGCACGUGGCAACGAGGGAUCACUUGAAGCCUGCUGCCCUGUGAUGAGGACACAUAAGCACCCCUAUGGAGGUGAGCAACUGAGGCAUCCUGCCAGCAACAAGAACCUUGACAGCCUAUUCUCCAGGUGUAAGUCACCUUCUGAAUCGGAACCAGCAGCAUCCUAUGGAAUUAAGGGGCAAGAUUCUCAUGAACAGGUGCGUUUCGAGACUUUUCCAAGCUCGCUUCCUACUACCCCUUUUCUUUCCGAAGGAACGGUAGGCUUGUAAUGUUACCUAGUCUUUGAAGAAUGAGAUGAAGUUCCCUCUACAAAUUGCUACUCCCCUCCCUCUUCCCCUACU